rnacentral:ncRNA from 1 species
UUGCUAUUUUCUUUAAAAGCAAAUAUAAUUACCAUUGUUCCUUUACAUGCGGGGUAGUGUACGGCUGCACGGGAGGCUAGUAGUUAUGGGCCCUCUUCACAGUAAUGUGUCGUAGCAAACUUGGCUAUAUCGGUGGACACCCUUUAGUAUUUUUAAGGACAAUACCGAGGGAACCCUUCGAUAAAACUCGGGGCAACACCACGAGAUAAGUCGAACGGGACUCCGUAGAGACUAGACGCCGAGCACCUAUUAGAUGUAUAGAAAGGAAAUUGUCUAACAGGUUGAUGAUAUAGUCCGACACUUCAGGUAACUGAAGA